rnacentral:rRNA from 1 species
UUUAUGGAGAGUUUGAUCCUGGCUCAGGAUGAACGCUGGCGGCGUGCCUAAUACAUGCAAGUCGAGCGAACGGACGAGAAGCUUGCUUCUCUGAUGUUAGCGGCGGACGGGUGAGUAACACGUGGAUAACCUACCUAUAAGACUGGGAUAACUUCGGGAAACCGGAGCUAAUACCGGAUAAUAUUUUGAACCGCAUGGUUCAAAAGUGAAAGACGGUCUUGCUGUCACUUAUAGAUGGAUCCGCGCUGCAUUAGCUAGUUGGUAAGGUAACGGCUUACCAAGGCAACGAUGCAUAGCCGACCUGAGAGGGUGAUCGGCCACACUGGAACUGAGACACGGUCCAGACUCCUACGGGAGGCAGCAGUAGGGAAUCUUCCGCAAUGGGCGAAAGCCUGACGGAGCAACGCCGCGUGAGUGAUGAAGGUCUUCGGAUCGUAAAACUCUGUUAUUAGGGAAGAACAUAUGUGUAAGUAACUGUGCACAUCUUGACGGUACCUAAUCAGAAAGCCACGGCUAACUACGUGCCAGCAGCCGCGGUAAUACGUAGGUGGCAAGCGUUAUCCGGAAUUAUUGGGCGUAAAGCGCGCGUAGGCGGUUUUUUAAGUCUGAUGUGAAAGCCCACGGCUCAACCGUGGAGGGUCAUUGGAAACUGGAAAACUUGAGUGCAGAAGAGGAAAGUGGAAUUCCAUGUGUAGCGGUGAAAUGCGCAGAGAUAUGGAGGAACACCAGUGGCGAAGGCGACUUUCUGGUCUGUAACUGACGCUGAUGUGCGAAAGCGUGGGGAUCAAACAGGAUUAGAUACCCUGGUAGUCCACGCCGUAAACGAUGAGUGCUAAGUGUUAGGGGUUUCCGCCCCUUAGUGCUGCAGCUAACGCAUUAAGCACUCCGCCUGGGGAGUACGACCGCAAGGUUGAAACUCAAAGGAAUUGACGGGGACCCGCACAAGCGGUGGAGCAUGUGGUUUAAUUCGAAGCAACGCGAAGAACCUUACCAAAUCUUGACAUCCUUUGACAACUCUAGAGAUAGAGCUUUCCCCUUCGGGGGACAAAGUGACAGGUGGUGCAUGGUUGUCGUCAGCUCGUGUCGUGAGAUGUUGGGUUAAGUCCCGCAACGAGCGCAACCCUUAAGCUUAGUUGCCAUCAUUAAGUUGGGCACUCUAAGUUGACUGCCGGUGACAAACCGGAGGAAGGUGGGGAUGACGUCAAAUCAUCAUGCCCCUUAUGAUUUGGGCUACACACGUGCUACAAUGGACAAUACAAAGGGCAGCGAAACCGUGAGGUCAAGCAAAUCCCAUAAAGUUGUUCUCAGUUCGGAUUGUAGUCUGCAACUCGACUACAUAAAGCUGGAAUCGCUAGUAAUCGUAGAUCAGCAUGCUACGGUGAAUACGUUCCCGGGUCUUGUACACACCGCCCGUCACACCACGAGAGUUUGUAACACCCGAAGCCGGUGGAGUAACCUUUUAGGAGCUAGCCGUCGAAGGUGGGACAAAUGAUUGGGGUGAAGUCGUAACAAGGUAGCCGUAUCGGAAGGUGCGGCUGGAUCACCUCCUUUCU